GAUGAACGCUGGCGGCGUGCCUAAUACAUGCAAGUCGAGCGAACGGACGAGAAGCUUGCUUCUCUGAUGUUAGCGGCGGACGGGUGAGUAACACGUGGAUAACCUACCUAUAAGACUGGGAUAACUUCGGGAAACCGGAGCUAAUACCGGAUAAUAUUUUGAACCGCAUGGUUCAAAAGUGAAAGACGGUCUUGCUGUCACUUAUAGAUGGAUCCGCGCUGCAUUAGCUAGUUGGUAAGGUAACGGCUUACCAAGGCAACGAUGCAUAGCCGACCUGAGAGGGUGAUCGGCCACACUGGAACUGAGACACGGUCCAGACUCCUACGGGAGGCAGCAGUAGGGAAUCUUCCGCAAUGGGCGAAAGCCUGACGGAGCAACGCCGCGUGAGUGAUGAAGGUCUUCGGAUCGUAAAACUCUGUUAUUAGGGAAGAACAUAUGUGUAAGUAACUGUGCACAUCUUGACGGUACCUAAUCAGAAAGCCACGGCUAACUACGUGCCAGCAGCCGCGGUAAUACGUAGGUGGCAAGCGUUAUCCGGAAUUAUUGGGCGUAAAGCGCGCGUAGGCGGUUUUUUAAGUCUGAUGUGAAAGCCCACGGCUCAACCGUGGAGGGUCAUUGGAAACUGGAAAACUUGAGUGCAGAAGAGGAAAGUGGAAUUCCAUGUGUAGCGGUGAAAUGCGCAGAGAUAUGGAGGAACACCAGUGGCGAAGGCGACUUUCUGGUCGGUAACUGACGCUGAUGUGCGAAAGCGUGGGGAUCAAACAGGAUUAGAUACCCUGGUAGUCCACGCCGUAAACGAUGAGUGCUAAGUGUUAGGGGGUUUCCGCCCCUUAGUGCUGCAGCUAACGCAUUAAGCACUCCGCCUGGGGAGUACGACCGCAAGGUUGAAACUCAAAGGAAUUGACGGGGACCCGCACAAGCGGUGGAGCAUGUGGUUUAAUUCGAAGCAACGCGAAGAACCUUACCAAAUCUUGACAUCCUUUGACAACUCUAGAGAUAGAGCUUUCCCCUUCGGGGGACAAAGUGACAGGUGGUGCAUGGUUGUCGUCAGCUCGUGUCGUGAGAUGUUGGGUUAAGUCCCGCAACGAGCGCAACCCUUAAGCUUAGUUGCCAUCAUUAAGUUGGGCACUCUAAGUUGACUGCCGGUGACAAACCGGAGGAAGGUGGGGAUGACGUCAAAUCAUCAUGCCCCUUAUGAUUUGGGCUACACACGUGCUACAAUGGACAAUACAAAGGGCAGCGAAACCGCGAGGUCAAGCAAAUCCCAUAAAGUUGUUCUCAGUUCGGAUUGUAGUCUGCAACUCGACUACAUGAAGCUGGAAUCGCUAGUAAUCGUAGAUCAGCAUGCUACGGUGAAUACGUUCCCGGGUCU
rnacentral:rRNA from 1 species